rnacentral:rRNA from 1 species
AACGCUAGCUACAGGCUUAACACAUGCAAGUCGAGGGGCAGCGGGAUUGAAGCUUGCUUCAAUUGCCGGCGACCGGCGCACGGGUGAGUAACGCGUAUCCAACCUUCCGUACACCCAGGGAUAGCCUUUCGAAAGAAAGAUUAAUACCUGAUGGUAUGAUGAGAUUGCAUGAUAGCAUCAUUAAAGAUUUAUCGGUGUACGAUGGGGAUGCGUUCCAUUAGGUAGUAGGCGGGGUAACGGCCCACCUAGCCAACGAUGGAUAGGGGUUCUGAGAGGAAGGUCCCCCACAUUGGAACUGAGACACGGUCCAAACUCCUACGGGAGGCAGCAGUGAAGAAUAUUGGUCAAUGGACGAGAGUCUGAACCAGCCAAGUAGCGUGAAGGAUGAAGGUCCUACGGAUUGUAAACUUCUUUUAUAAGGGAAUAAACCCUCCCACGUGUGGGAGCUUGUAUGUACCUUAUGAAUAAGCAUCGGCUAACUCCGUGCAGCAGCCGCGGUAAUACGGAGGAUGCGAGCGUUAUCCGGAUUUAUUGGGUUUAAAGGGAGUGCAGACGGGUCGUUAAGUCAGCUGUGAAAGUUUGGGGCUCAACCUUAAAAUUGCAGUUGAUACUGGCGUCCUUGAGUGCGGUUGAGGUGUGCGGAAUUCGUGGUGUAGCGGUGAAAUGCUUAGAUAUCACGAAGAACUCCGAUUG